UCUGCCUGGGGGUAGCAUAUAUCGCACUUCAGAAGAAGAGGCGUAUCCAGAAAGACAGCCCUUCUUGUCGCCUGAGUCAUGCGUAUGAAAACGUCGGGGAAGCAGACUUCAGAGCUACCGCACCUGCAUCCUCUGACUCGGACCAUAUAUACACUGGCCUGAUGUUUACUGAUACAUCCACCUACAGCACCUUGAACAAGCCCUGAAGGAGGCAUGUGUGCUGAGGGUUAGGAUGCUGUAUCUGUGAUCAUAAAGUUGCUGUUUCACAUCCCGGGGGUGACAGAGUGAUUGCCCCAUUGGGUGCCUGAGUGAGGCCCUUAGCCCCAACUGCUCCAGAGCCGGCCUUCACAAGAACGUGCAUUGCUUUGGAUAAAAGCAUCUGCUAAUCAUUCCAUUAGGUUUUUUUUAAUGCAGGAUUUAUCGCUUGCUUCCUGUCAGGGUCAGCUCCUGUUGUCCCAGUCUGUGUCCUUUUCCCCGUUGUCCUAGUCUGUAGUGUGCAUGUCCUUGUCAGCCGCAUGGCUCAACAAGCUGCGUGUGCAGCUGCCCAUUAACCUUCUGUUAUAUGUUCGAAUCCCACCUCCUCUGUUUUUGUAUUUUGUUUCAUUGUAUGAAUUUUUCUAGUUUCUGUGGCUUCCGGUUUGUCUCUGUGCCAGUGCUUCUACUUGUCUGUUAUUCCCCAGUGUUAUUAAAAUUAUAUAAUAAAUA